rnacentral:rRNA from 1 species
UACGUAGGGUGCAAGCGUUGUCCGGAAUUAUUGGGCGUAAAGAGCUCGUAGGCGGUUUGUCGCGUCUGCUGUGAAAACUCGGGGCUUAACCCCGGGCCUGCAGUGGGUACGGGCAGACUAGAGUGCGGUAGGGGAGACUGGAAUUCCUGGUGUAGCGGUGGAAUGCGCAGAUAUCAGGAGGAACACCGAUGGCGAAGGCAGAUCUCUGGGCCUUACCUGACGCUCAGGUGCGAAAGCUAGGGGAGCGAACAGG